ensembl:lncRNA
GUGAAGACAAUGGGUUUGGUUUACUUUUCGCAUUGGCCUGUGUCAAUCGAGGUUGAGUUUAGUGAGGGUUCAAAGUUUUCGAUCUAGAUCUAGAUCGCUAUUGUCACUUUAUACAAACUGAAAGUAUGCGUUGUUGCGUGUUUGUUUUUGAGGGCAUUUGACUGAACAGCCCAGACAAAUAUUGCUACCAACAUGGCACUUCGAAACAGACCACCGCAGUGAGUAAAAGUUAUUUUCCUUUAUUAAAUGUUGACGUUUUUGGGCUGUCUCCUCAGACACAGCCAUCAGUAUCCCUGCUCUUUGCACCUUGACAUGCAUGUCGCCGCUGUUUGUUAACCUAGCUUUGCUGAUUUGUAUCUUGUGAUGUGUGUGUGUGUGUGUUUUUCUUAACAGGUGUUGGAUGACUGACAAGAUCUAUGGGGGGGCCCCCUUUGGGCCCCCCCAUACCAACUUAGUCUUCAAAAGGAAUCUAGUGCCAUGGGACUCCAGUGUCUUCAAAACUUCCUCGGAAUGUGUAUGAUUGGUCCACCGAAGGGUUGAUCUGGAAGCCACCACGGUCCACACAGUAAUCUGCUGCGUGGGCCGUAGUGGCUUCCAGAGCCAUCUUUCGGUCUUGGUCAGGAUUUGUUACAGUUGCCCUUCAAUGUAGCAGGCUACGGGAUUCUGAAGAAGCCUGCUUUACGUAGCAUUGGAGUACAAAUAUUGUGCAAAAUGCUCAUGUAAUUGCACUAGCACUAGUAACCUGUAGAUUAGCUUAGUUUAACGUCAUUCCGUGCUGUCUCUGUCAAAUGUGUGGCUUACUUUAAGUCCACAAGGCCCUCUGGUAAACCACGUUGGAACACCCCUGGACAAGGUGAUUAGUCACUGGGUGUGUGCUAAAGUUUUGUUCCAUUUUUCACUAGUUGGUUAAGGUUUGGUAGAAUUGUUUGGAUGCUAGCGACGUGAUGGCGUAUGUACAAGAGCCUACCGUGGCCAGGCCACAGUUGCGACGGCCACGGCCAGAUGGCCUAGUGUGAGUGCAACCUUGAUUGCAUUUGUAUACUGUUUACCAUUGGAUGUUUAUGCUAUUUGGCUUAAUUAAUCCGCAGUAAAGCUGCAUUUGGCUAUUCCAGGGUCGUUUUGUACAGGCCUUCAAUUGACCAUGUUGACUAGUUUGUGGGAUUUUUUUUUUUUUUUUUUACCCUUGCUUACAAUCCAACGGUUGUGACCACUUAUGCAACUGGGCUGUGAACCUUGCAAUUCUAGUUGCAUAUUUGUAUACGCAAGCUUGUCCAUUUCUAUCGCCAUCACUAACACUAGCUUCAGCAUUUCCUUGUAGGCCAUUAAAUGACUUGUGUAUUGGAGCGAUGAUUUGGGUAUUUUAAGAUGCUUGAAAACCUAAAAUAAAGCAAAAUGCGUUUCUGGUGUGCAAGAGCCAAUUUGUUGGCUUGCAGUAGUCGAGGAGUUGCCGUAGGUCGUAACCAUCUGGAGGUUGUGGCAAUGGAGGCUCGUGGUAGAUCUGCCAUCCAAGAAAGGUUAAUUCUUCUGAAGCAUGAUUAAUAGUUUAGUAAAUUGAAUCUAUUCAUAUAGAACUAUAAAAUCCAAGACUGCAGCCAGUAACUUGGAUCGCAAUAUGUGGAAAGUAUUAGUCUUCAUUUGUCACAACAGAAUAAUUAACAUGACUAACUGGGUUUCUUCCAUUUUCUAACUAGGGGGACUUGACUGGUGAGUCUACUGGAUUAAUCAGUAGCGGUACUUUGCCCAACAGAUUUGAUGGCAUGACUACAGGUUGGUGGUUCAACACUGAUGUCUCGCUAGGCUUGAGGGAGACCUCACAAGUAAUUUACACCAAUGUCCUGGAGGAAUUGGGAAUACACUUUUAUUUAGUCUACCUGACCAGGGACAUCUUAGAACUAUAGGUCACCUAAGCCAAACUUUUCACUCUUGUUAGGUUGUCCUUUUCUCAUUUUAAACCCGAAAGGGCCGAAAUAUCAACAUUUCAGGUAUUCUGUUUGGAUAAUGUGCAAAACUUGUGGCUUCACUAAUAAAAAAAAAUAACAAAUGUAUUUUUCUUAAUGUGGUUAAACUAUUUAAAGAUUUGCAUUCAAAAUAUUUCUGCUCAAUUUGUGGUCAAUGAAACUCUGAAAUUUUUUAAUUUGAUAAAACGCAACUAUGGGUUAAAGGUAUACAUCUUUUGAUAUUUUUAGAAUCUAGCUCCAUUGCUGUUAGAAAUGGUGUCUCCCAGUACUGCAAAGUGCUUCCACAUGUUUAAAAAAUAAUGGGCAGAAAAGGAACUGCCAACUAAAUCUAUUUAACAUGGGUAGAAAGUUUCCAUGGAAGGUCUUGGCUGCUGGUUCCCAACACAGCUCCACUGUUAGCCUGUGACCUUCCCUUUAACUUUUUUCGACUUUUGGUGACUUUCACAAAAGAGAAAUGAACUUGUUAAUACAAUAAACAAGACAUUUCAUGGUACCAUUUUUGAACUGUUUGUGGAUAUUGCAUUAAAUCCAUAUGCUUGAAACUUUUCAAUAAUGCAUAUCAACGAAACAAUGGAAUGAAAUGAAUAGUUCAAGCAAUUUGUGGGACUUGGCUGCUUUUACAUCAUUACUCAUUUUGGGGGUUAUUUCAGUCUCUCCAACCUGCAGGUCAUGCGAAGAAUCAUGUGAAUGGG